rnacentral:tRNA from 1 species
GGAGGGAUGUCCGAGUGGUUAAAGGAGACGGGCUGUAAACCCGUUGGCUCUGCCUACGCAGGUUCGAAUCCUGCUCCCUCCAC